rnacentral:tRNA from 1 species
AGCCCUGUAGUAUAGUGGCCAAGUAUGGCUGGCUCUGGCCCAGCAGACCCAGGUUCGAAUCCUGGCAGGGCUA